UAGUGAAUUCUUAAAGUAAUAAAUUGUAAAUUUAUUUAAGAAAUAAAUUUCUAUUAC
rnacentral:tRNA from 1 species